UUCAAUUAACUGAAGAUCCUGACGGCGACAUAGCUGAUGGUGUGGCAGCCUGAAUCACAGAUGUCUACUUCUUUUCCUGAGAUACGAAAUGGCUCUUAUUAAA